UACGUAUGGUGCAAGCGUUGUCCGGAAUUAUUGGGCGUAAAGAGCUCGUAGGCGGUUCGUCGCGUCGGCUGUGAAAUCCCGAGGCUCAACCUCGGGUCUGCAGUCGAUACGGGCGGACUGGAGUUCGGCAGGGGAGACUGGAAUUCCUGGUGUAGCGGUGAAAUGCGCAGAUAUCAGGAGGAACACCGGUGGCGAAGGCGGGUCUCUGGGCCGAUACUGACGCUGAGGAGCGAAAGCAUGGGGAGCGAACAGG
rnacentral:rRNA from 1 species